GUGUGCAGACCCUCCACACAUCCAAGCUGCAUUCUGCAUGGAUCUAUCUAAAUGCACAUCUUCUUCUGGGAUCCUCUUCUCCUGGUCCUCCUUCCUCAGGGAGGGGGGGGCAAAGAUGAAGCCCCCCUUUCCGGACGUCCUGACUCCUCCUAGCCGCAGCUUGAAUUGUGAAGCGACUGAACACCUCGAUGUCCCUGACUGGGACUUGAACCUGCGCUCUCCUGCUUCAAGGACAGAAACACUCCCACUGUGCUAAUCUGUCUACAGCAGAACUGUGUUGCUUUGUUCCUUUGAGCCGAUGACUGUCAAGGAGCGGCAAAAACCGAAAACAACAAAACUGAGACGGGGAAUUGAACCAGCGCUUCUCUGCUUUGGAGAUCAAGUCAGUUCCAUUGCACUAUUCUGUACAUCAGUCAGCACUUUGUCGAUCACCAUUUUUCCUCCAUCUGGUGCUUUCUGGGAUUUGAACCAGCACCUUCUUGCUCUACUGUCUCCUUUCAUCUCCAUCAGUGGAACCUUGAAGCUGAAGUUUGAUUGACAGUUGACGACCUCACAUCACCAGUUGCUGCUGCUUCACCGGAAGUGUUUUAAUUAUCAGCCACCGUUGUCAUUAUUUGCUUUUCUCUGCUCUCCUCCGUUUUGGAAGGUUAUGUCUGACCUCAUCUUGGAAACUUGGGUAUCAGAAUUAUUUUCUAGUUUUCCAUUGGAAAUUACGACAAACGGGAUAGUUUUGUGCAAUCUUCACCUCGGAUUGAUUAGUAUUUUACGUAAAUCGCGCAGAAAGGCAGGAGAAGAAUACAACAUCCUCCAAACUUCCCUUGUGACUGAUGUUUCAAUUCUUCAUCUGUUUUCAGCUCCUGAUGGAUAAAGUCUCUUUGGCAUAAAGUUCUCUUGUUGUCGCGUUGAUCAACGUGACAAAAUGCGCUCGUUUUUUUUUCUUUUUCCAGACGUUAUUGAAACAAAAUGCGUAAAUGUACACUGUGCCAGGCGUAGAUGAAAUGAUGUUGACCAAUCGUUGCUAAGAGUGGCGUAACGUCAUCAUUUGGGUUGCCAGAUUGGUUCAGGUGUGUGGAAGGGGGCGAUCAUUAAAGUGCAGCCAACUUUCUUUUGCACAACAUUCAGAGCGCACGUUGGUACGGACGCGCUGUGAAAUGGGUUGCCAGAUUUGGCUCUUAUUUUUUUCGCCACUUCGGGGCCCUGGUGGUGGCGGGGGCCCUACGCGGCUGCGUAUUUCGUGUAUAGGGAGCCAUGGGUUAAAGUUAAACUCAGUUAACUGGAAUCUAGAUUUUCUUUGCUGACUAAAGUUCAAAUAGUCUAAAUAGGUUUUUUAUUAUACAAAAUGAAAGAAAAAAACUGAUUUAAUUUAUCAUUAGGAAAUCUAAAAAAAGGAGGCAGAUUUUUCUUUAACAUAUUCAAAGUCAGGCUAAGUUUAGACUAGAACUUGGUUAAAAAUGGAAGUACAUUUCUUCAUUUUUAUUUGAAUAACAUGACCUUUUUUGUAAUUUAUAAACUUAAAUUUUGUAAAUUUUCAUUCGGAGACAAAAUUAAUUAAAAAAUACAAUUCAGGAGGUCUGAAUUUCAUUCAAAUGAAUAAAAGUUUAACAAAUGUUUUCUCUCUCUUUUUUUUUAAAUAACUCAGAAGUCACUUUUUUCAAAAGUACUUUUAUUUUGAAAAACUGAUCAUUGAGUCUUUCAGACGGCUUGGUACGCUCCUUUAUUCCUAGUAGCAGUAAAUCUAGAUCAACGCUGAGGGUGAAGGUGGGAAUGAAGACCUGGAGCUUCAGAGCCGGACCAGAGGAACCAUGGACCGUCACGACAAACCCUUCCUCAAAGACGAGGGCGAGCCGAUCGACGCCGAGGUUUGCCUCAUUUCCAGAAAACCGAGGACUCUUAUGGUUUCACAUUUUACGGAUUGUCCUCUUUGCUUUGGAUAUUUUCAAAAUAAAUGCAUCCCAGCUGUUGCUUUUCUUGUGAAACGCCGCCGACAGGACCGUCUCAGAUUAGAAACAAGCUUUAUUUAUUCAAUUUCUUUCAUGUUUUGAAGGUAAAGAGGAGCAAGAUCCACCAGUGGACACGGAUGACAGUAAAUCGCUGUAAUCAUCAGGCAAUCUACAACAGAACUACAAUCUGGACCAGAACCAUUGGAGACGUUUCCUCUCUUUGCAAAGUGGUGAGAGAUGAAGAGGCCUCCGCGACUCUUCGUCAGUAAGGUCACUUGAUAAAGAGAUUGUGAGGAUGGCCGCCACCUCCAGAGUGUCGUCAGCAUGCGUGAAAACCCAGUUUGAAACAGCCGGGUGGACGGCCGGGGUUCGCCCCCGCCCCCCAGGGAGAGAGAAAAAAAAAAA